ACAACCAGACGGUGCGGCUCACCCCAA
rnacentral:sRNA from 1 species